rnacentral:rRNA from 1 species
AGUGAACGCUGGCGGUAGGCCUAACACAUGCAAGUCGAACGGCAGCACAGUAAGAGCUUGCUCUUACGGGUGGCGAGUGGCGGACGGGUGAGGAAUACAUCGGAAUCUACUUUUUCGUGGGGGAUAACGUAGGGAAACUUACGCUAAUACCGCAUACGACCUACGGGUGAAAGCAGGGGAUCUUCGGACCUUGCGCGAUUGAAUGAGCCGAUGUCGGAUUAGCUAGUUGGCGGGGUAAAGGCCCACCAAGGCGACGAUCCGUAGCUGGUCUGAGAGGAUGGACAGGCAACCUGGGACUGGAGAACGGUCCCAGCUCCUGAGGGAAGCAGCAGUGGGGAAUUAUGGGCAAAGGGGGGAAACCUGAUCCAAGCAUUCCGGGUGGGUGGAAGAGGCCUUCGGGUUGGAAAGCCCUUUUGUUGGGGAAAAAAAGCAGCAGGUUAAAACCCCGCUGUUCUGACGGUACCCAAAGAAUAAGCACCGGCUAACUUCGUG